rnacentral:rRNA from 1 species
UACGUAUGGUGCAAGCGUUAUCCGGAUUUACUGGGCGUAAAGGGAGCGCAGGCGGUGCGCCAAGUCUGAUGUGAAACCCCGGGGCUCAACCCCGGGCAUGCAUUGGAAACUGGCGGGCUGGAGUGCCGGAGAGGUAAGCGGAAUUCCUAGUGCAGCGGUGAAAUGCGUAGAUAUUAGGAGGAACACCAGUGGCGAAGGCGGCUUACUGGACGGCAACUGACGCUGAGGCUCGAAAGCGUGGGGAGCAAACAGG